rnacentral:rRNA from 1 species
UAGCUAGUUGGUAGGGUAAGGGCCUACCAAGGCGACGAUCGGUAGCUGGUCUGAGAGGAUGGCCAGCCACACUGGAACUGAGACACGGUCCAGACUCCUACAGGAGGCAGCAGUGGGGAAUAUUGGACAAUGGGGGCAACCCUGAUCCAGCAAUGCCGCGUGUGUGAAGAAGGCCUGAGGGUUGUAAAGCACUUUCAGUGGGGAGGAGAGGACUUAGGUUAAGAGCUAGAGUUCUGGACGUUACCCACAGAAGAAGCACCGGCUAACUCCGUGCCAGCAGCCGCGGUAAUACGGAGGGUGCGAGCGUUAAUCGGAAUUACUGGGCGUAAAGGGUGCGUAGGUGGUUAGAUAAGUUAUCUGUGAAAUCCCUGGGCUCAACCUGGGCAGGUCAGAUGAUACUGUUUAACUCGAGUAUGGGAGAGGGUAGUGGAAUUUCCGGUGUAGCGGUGAAAUGCGUAGAGAUCGGAAGGAACACCAGUGGCGAAGGCGGCUACCUGGCCUAAUACUGACACUGAGGCACGAAAGCGUGGGGAGCAAACAGGAUUAGAUACCCUGGUAGUCCACGCUGUAAACGAUGUCAACUAGCUGUUGGUUAUAUAAAAAUAAUUAGUGGCGC